GUGGAUUAGAUACCCGGGUAGUCCACGCCGUAAACGAUGAUGACUAGCUGUCGGGGCUCUUGGAGUUUCGGUGGCGCAGCUAACGCGUUAAGUCAUCCGCCUGGGGAGUACGGCCGCAAGGUUAAAACUCAAAGAAAUUGACGGGGGCCUGCACAAGCGGUGGAGCAUGUGGUUUAAUUCGAAGCAACGCGCAGAACCUUACCAGCGUUUGACAUGGUAGGACGGUUUCCAGAGAUGGAUUCCUUCCCUUACGGGACCUACACACAGGUGCUGCAC
rnacentral:rRNA from 1 species